UUAUUUUACUAUCUACUUGUCAGAAGAAUAAAAGCUAAACAUACUAGAAGAAAUCCAACAUACCAAAAAAGAAAACAACCUGCUCAGGAGUUGCAGCUCUCUCUUAAAAUGAGAGCUGAUAGGAGAAAUAUAGGAAUGGUACCUCCUCUUCAAACCUGCAAGAUCUAAAUGCUUUUAGAUAUGUGGUUGUACAAUUCCUCCUGUUGAUUCUCUGAUUCUCUGCCAGUUUUAAACCUCACAAUCUCUGUCUUUGCUUCCCAAGCUUUUCUUCUUUAUGAGAGUGUUAACUUUCUUCUUCCUUUUUUUUUUUCUAUUGAAAUCUGUGGGAGAGUAAGUGCAGGAUCUGGUUCCUAAAGCUGCUCCAUCACGUUGCCAAGUAACCACAGAAGGAAUAUGUUUUGUUUUCCAUGGAGGGCAGGAAGGAUCAGAGUGCUUGUGUGAAAGAUCACAGAGCCUAAGGAAAUCUGUGAUCAGUGAGGAGAGUGAAACCAGCAUGAUCUUUCCACUUAGAGAUAUUCUGUACCGUAAGUUAAGUACUAACAACAUGAACAAGUCUGCAAUCAAAAACAAAGCAAAAAAAGCCCUGCAGCAUUCCUGGUAUUAGCAAAUGGCAUCAUAAUUUCAUCAUCAUGAACUGUAUUUGCUAUAGUCUGAGCUUAUUCUGGGAUGUUUGACAGCAAAACUUGAUAGAGAUCUGUGAAGGUCAACAAACUGGCAUCAGUUUAAAUCAGAUGAUAAUCUGCUCAUUUAUUUGUAUGAAUGUAAAAUGAUGAUUACAGGGAAAGGAUAACCAAGAAAAGGGCUUUCAUCAGAAGGAGAAAUUUGAAUAGAAGGUUCCUUGGGGUUUGGGAUGGUUUGAGAGGAGUUUCUAUGUUCAGUUUUAGACUGCCCAAAAGAAGGCAACUUUAAGAGUUUAGGCACUUUAAGUGCUUAGGCACUUUUCUCAAACGCUUGCUCUGUACUACAUUUAUUUAUAAUUCUUUUACAUUUACUGUAAUUAAGUCUUUAUUGAUUUGACAUAAACCAACAGCUGCAUUUCACUAUGGAAAUCAACUGAAAAAUAAAUGUCAUCUACUAAGCAUGGACAAUACACUUGAGAAUGCAGAUGACAUGUAUUAAAUUCUCUUGUCAUUUUUGCACCUCUUCAAGCACAGUAUCAAUUAUAUACAUACUUGUAGCCAGAGCUUCUACAUGGUAAGCUGCCUAUAAAGUCUUUGCUGUAUAAUAAACUAUAAACAAUCUGCUCCACUUAGAUCAGUUUUAAAUAGAGUUUUGUAUUAAGAGAAAUCUUUGAUGUGGAAAUUAUUUUUUCACUUGAAAUUCAUCCUCUUAACAUGAUUGGCUUGGCCUUUGGAGGCAAUAUUUUUGUACUUUAUUUAGAAGAUAUAUUCACUGAAAUUCAUAAAUGGCAAAAUAACUACUUCUGAGCAGUACUAUGUUUUACUAAUACAGAUGCUGGAGCUGCAGAAGGCCCAAGAACACUCUCAAAAUUAUCUCACUUUCAGGUACAGGGCUAACUAUGCUAUCUGCCCCCUUGGGCUUUGGAUGCAAGCAAGCAUAGACCAACACCUUCAAGAAAGGGAUCAGCGAAUAUAAGGACAAUGGUUAUGACCAAAUAACAGAAUAGCUGACAUUUGAAGAGACCUCUGGAGAUAUCUACUCCAACUCCCUACUCAAGUAAGGAUGCCUGCAGCAUGUUGCCAAGGAUCACAUCCUGUUGGCUCUUGAAGAAAUACAAGGAAAGAGACUCCAACAACCUCUCUGGGCACCAGAACCUCUAUGGGCAAAUCAAAUUAUCAGUGACCUAGGAAGGGAAAACUAAGGAAAAAUUGGGUUGUUGGUCAGAUGUGACCCAGGGCACAAUGAUUUUAUGACAUUCUAUGUACUGUUCCAUUUAAGUGGGUGAGGAAGUGUUUUAUACAUGGGUAAAGGGAAACCCUUUUCACACGAGCAGGGUCGGAAACUGGUGGUUCCUGAGGCUGGAGUUCCCAAGGUUAUUUUUCAGAUGACAUAAUGUAUUUAUCAAGUCAGUUAUUUGUCAGAUGGUUAAAAGAGUUAUCUGGAUGCCAUAUAAUAGAUAUUACUUGAAUAAUGUGAAAGUUCAGUCUUUAAUUUUAUGUUUUAAAGAAAAGUUAAUAAAAAAAUC